rnacentral:lncRNA from 1 species
UUAACCGUGUUCCAGGUGGCCUCACAAAGCAUCAGUUUGGUUCCUUCCAGCCCAUUCCGUACCUCUGUGAUGAAGAACAGCAUCGGUGAGCAUUCUGUGAUGCUCUGCAUCUGGAAAAGGGAGGGCUCCUGUCCACGAGCAUUGAGUGACAACCUCGAACCUGUUUCUUCCCAGCCCACCUGGGAAUCCAACCUGCACUCGGAUUUCAAGGGAGAGGGAAUGUGAAGUGUUUCCUCAUCCAACCUGCCGCUAUCUCUUUAGCAGCGAGCCUCUCUCUCCUCUACGGUAAUUUUCCAUUGUGUAGAAUCAAACCUUAUCUUCAAUUCUUCUCCUCCAUUCUAAUAAUAAGUGUGGCUUCACAAGCGAUUCAUUCACCCAACGCUGCUGAUUGGGACUUCACAGCACUUCAAAGUCCUGCCCACAGGUCCUGGAGGGGGGGGUUAAGUGGAACACAGACAUCUGAUGAAGAGAAAAAUAUCAGGUGGAGGUGUUUGCAAGCUUUAGGUUUCGAGAGGCUCUGAAGGAUCCUGUCACCUCUCCUGGGUCAAGGCUCCUCAGCUUUCCAGACAAACACUUUUCCCGGGAUGUUUUGCCAAAUGCCAUGGUGACUCACCCUUGUCACUCCUCUUCUCUGGGGUAGCAACACUGAGAGGGAAAAACAACUGCUGUUUACUGCCAUGCCCAAAAUGGGCCUUGACACUGCCAGCAGGAUUUGGAAAGACAGAAAUAGAGGAGUGAUUAUGGAGUGCAAUUAAGAGACAGCCCUCAGGAUCCUCCUCCAGAGGAGGAUUGG